rnacentral:rRNA from 1 species
AUUGAACGCUGGCGGCAGGCCUAACACAUGCAAGUCGAGCGGAGCGGCGGACGCGUGCGGAAUGCCUAGGAAUCUGCCUGGUAGUGGGGGAUAGCGUCCGGAAACGGGCGCUAAUACUGCUUACUCAUAGCUGAGGAUAGGUCGGAUUAGCUAGUUGGUGGGGUAAAGGCCUACCAAGGCGACGAUCCGUAGCUGGUCUGAGAGGAUGAUCAGUCACACUGGAACUGAGACACGGUCCAGACUCCUACGGGAGGCAGCAGUGGGGAAUAUUGGACAAUGGGCGAAAGCCUGAUCCAGCCAUGCCGCGUGUGUGAAGAAGGUCUUCGGAUUGUAAAGCACUUUAAGUUGGGAGGCGUUACCAACAGAAUAAGCACCGGCUAACUUCGUGCCAGCAGCCGCGGUAAUAC